GAAAACGCCAAUGCCAUGAGUCGUGGGAGGGGAAGAACUCGCGCCACCACCGUCAUCUUGUUCGCAUCGCCGCUCGAGGCCUUUGACGGGGUCGGGGUGCAUCGCCGGUGCACCCUGAGCACGAGGGUGGAGGUUGAGGGCAUCGGAGUUGGAGGCUUCCCUGGAAUUGCUCGUCGGAGCUUUCACUGUCGUGCUGUGCCUUAGUCCACCGCGGGCCGAGCUACCGCGCGCGCCACCUUCGGUGAGUACAUGCUCCCUUGUCUCUAUUUGAUCAGAGUGGCGUGUUGCGACCGUGGAAUGGAGUGUAGGGCAUUAGAUUUGGAGGAUCGCGGUCACCGGUAAUGGCACGCCACCGUCGCGCCGCUGUUUCAUCGUCGGGGUCGAGUCUAAGCUGGGUGUUGAGGCUCGGUUGUUGAAUUUGCGAUGGGCGAUCAGGAGUAGAUCUGGGCUCAUUGUUUCGCUCGAUUAGAUCUGGGGCGUCGAUUCGGUAAUGGACGGUUUAGGUCAGCUCGGGGCGGGAUCGUCCUUCAUUCUUUGAUUUCGGAUCAGACGAUCAUGAAGGAUUACACGUUUAUGAAUCGUAUAUAUUUAAUCUUGGUCGUCGGGCGUUGAUCGAACGGUCAGUGUCUCAGGAUACCCCUUCGGCGCAGGCGUUUUACAAAAGAGGGCUUAGACUUUUAGAAAAUUAACCCGCCGGUCCAUAGUAGUGUUAGAACAAUUAUGGUGAGGCCCUAAAAUUUAUGAUUUCAUCCCUAAACUCCCUGGUAAUCAUGCGCGCAGUACAGAAAGCUAGUAAAUGGAGUAAAAAUUAUAGAAAAUGAUUUUUAGUAUUAAAAUAAUUCCAGAACUUGCUUAAUUCUUAGAAAAUCCAUUUUAAUUCCUUUUUUAUUCAUUCUAGUUGCAUUAAUUUUGUAUUAAUAUUUAUUAUGACCUGGUAACUCUGUUUUAGCAUGGAACAUAGAUUAAAAUUAUUUACUUGGUUUAUUCUAUAUCAAACAUGUAGAAACUUCGGAAAAUCAUAACUCUUUAACCAUAACUCCGAAUUUAGUGAUUCUCAAACCUACGAUCUCGUUUCGAUACGUAGAAUAUUAUUAUGCAGUAUGUUCUCAUGUUUGGUGUGAUGUUAAUUUCUCAUGUAUCAUGUUUGCUUGUAUUGUUGCGAGUAGACGGGCAAGUGACUGAGGACCCAGAGGCUCAGCAGGUGGAAAAUACUGAGCAGGAGCUCGUUGAAGGCAAAUUGUGCCCUUGAUCACUUCUAUUUACCCAAUAAUGUUCAUGUUAAUCAUUAUGAUUUGUAUAGGUUAAUUUUGAUGAGACCCAAUAGGUCACCCCAGUUUGGCUAUCUUUAUACCUUGUUUACCACUAAACUUUUGGGUAGUACCUGCUAUUGCUUUAUGUGGUUUUGGGUGUUAAGAUACAAAUUAUUCAUGAUCAUGCUUUUAUUAUCAAUUUGUUAUUUACUGUUCAUGACAAGAUCAUUAUGUUAAUUGGAACAUGGAGUUACCACCCGAGAAAAUAGUGCUACCACAAGGGUGGUAUGGGACGCCAUUGGCUGACUAAUUAGUAAAGCUAGUGGAGGACUACCUUACCAAAAGGGCAAGGGUAGUAGGGGAGUGGUCGGUUUAGGGAGGUUAUCGGGUUGAUUUUGUUGCGAUGGCUUUUCAGACGGGGGAUUCCAAUGCUGCGCUCCCUAGAAAUUGUAGCGGGUUUUCUGAAGCUACUGAAACUUUGUAAAGGCUUCGUAGUGUUACCCUACCUCGCUUCCUUGGUAGAGGUGUAUGGGAUUCAUGACCCCUUGGUAGAUGGGUAACAUGGCUCAUGGGUAAAGAUGUGCAACCUCUGCAGAGUGUAAAACUGGUAUAUCAGUCGUGCUCACGGCCAUGAGUGGCUCGGACCCUCACAUGAGUAACUUAUGGAAUUAAAUUCAACUGGUCAUUUGCAUCGCAUUGUGGUUUAUCAUUAAUUUUGGUCUAUUAUUACUCUGGUUUGGUAUAUACUUAUACUUAGUAACUGCUAAUAAAAUUUGACCAACUUAUUAAAAGCAAUGCUCAACUUUAACCAUUAUUUGUUGAUCAGCCUUACACUUCACAUGAGCUCCCACCUUUGGUGAGUUCAUGCACAUCAUUCCGCACAACUUGUUGAGCUAUGAUCUUUUGUGAGCUCACCCUUGUGAUAUAUAAACCCCCCCAUAGGAGAAGAACAAGUGGUCCAGGAGGAGGCCUACAACGAGGAGUACAAGCUUAUCUAGGUGGUGUCUCCCAGUCAUCUUGAUGGCGCCCAGGAAUAAUUAUUAGUUGGCUUUAUUUUUAUCAUUUAUUUUUGUAAGACUCUUCCACUAUGUAAUAAUAAUAUUUGUG
rnacentral:lncRNA from 1 species